UAGGGUGCGCAGUGCUUUCCAUAGCUUA
rnacentral:piRNA from 1 species